UAGUCCACGCCGUAAACGAUGGACACUAGUUGUUGGAAUUAUUCAGUGACUAAGCGAAAGUAAUAAGUGUCCCACCUGGGGAGUACGAUCGCAAGAUUGAAACUCAAAGGAAUUGACGGGGGCUAAUACUAGUGGUGGAACAUGUGGUUUAAUGCGAUACUCCGCGCAAAACCUUACCAAUUUUUGACAUAAAAAAUAAAUGCUAUUUUAUGCAAUUGUUGCAUUUUUAGUUGUUAAUUUUUACAGGUGUUGCACGGCUGUCGUCAGCUCGUGCCGUGAGGUGUCAGGUUAAGUCCUAUAACGAGCGCAACCCCUGUUGUUAGUUGCCAGCGAGUAAUGUCGGGAACUCUAACAAGACUGCCGGUGCAAACCGCGAGGAAGGUGGGGAUGACGUCAAAUCAUCACGGCCCUUACGUCCUGGGCCACAUACGUGCUACAAUGGUAGGGACAGAGAGCAGCCACUAGGUGACUAGGAGCGAAAUCUACAAACCCUAUCUCAGUUCGGAUCGGAGUCUGCAACUCG
rnacentral:rRNA from 1 species